rnacentral:rRNA from 1 species
AUUGAACGCUGGCGGCAGGCCUAACACAUGCAAGUCGAACGAGUGGCGGACGGGUGAGUAAUGUCUGGGAAACUGCCCGAUGGAGGGGGAUAACUACUGGAAACGGUAGCUAAUACCGCAUACAUCCGGAUGUGCCCAGAGGGGAUUACUUAGUAGGUGGGGUAAGGGCUCACCUAGGCGACGAUCCCUAGCUGGUCUGAGAGGAUGACCAGCCACACUGGAACUGAGACACGGUCCAGACUCCUACGGGAGGCAGCAGUGGGGAAUAUUGCACAAUGGGCGCAAGCCUGAUGCAGCCAUGCCGCGUGUAUGAAGAAGGCCUUCGGGUUGUAAAGUACUUUCAGCGGGGAGGCGUUACCCGCAGAAGAAGCACCGGCUAACUCCGUGCCAGCCGCCGCGGUAAUUC